rnacentral:lncRNA from 1 species
GCCCUCGCCGCCCCCGCCCCCGUCCCCCGCCGCGGCCAGAUGUGGCCGCGCGCCCCCGGCCCCAGGUGUGCCCGGGCCGGCGCUCUCCAAGGGCACUGCGGGCCGGCCAGUCAAAAGCAAAACAAAACAAAAAUCAGAGCCGAGGGGAAAACAAUCGGAUUGGAAAAGAUCUGCGCUCCUUCCUGUCUAGUGGAAACAGCACGCGUAGCCAGCUGUCCCAUUUCGUGGGACUCGCCACCAGCAUUUAUGGGAGAUUGGAGACUUGGGAUGAUUCUUGAAUCACACUGUUGCCAGGCACUCACCAUCAUUUUUAAACAGUGCUAAAAAUAACAGUGGUUCCUAGAAGGCUGCAGCAAACACAAGCCAACUCGACAGGGCCACUCCCUGACCACAAAGGAUGACCAGAACCCCACAAGCAGAGUUUCUAGUUCAGCUGAUGAGAGCUGGUCUGUCCCCUACAUUAGAUCACAGAUUUAAGAACCAGAAAACACUUAAGAAAUCAUCUCAAGCCUCUUCAUUUUACAGAUGAACGAACUGAGGCUCAAGGAGAAGUGAUCUCCCAAUGUCACAUCAAAGUGAGAUUUUGAACCCAUACCCAGAACCCAUGCAGGCUUCUUUUUGUGCCUUUUAAAAUGCUCCCUGGCAGUUUUCAGAAGAAUCAAAACUUUCUGUAGUCUUAUGAAAAAGUGCUCUAAAUCACCAAUGAUUAGAGAAAUGCAAAUUAAAACAACUCUGAGGUACCACUUGACAUCUAUCAGAUUGAAAGAAAAGGAAAAUAUCAAAUGUUGGAGAGAACAUGGGAAAACUGAGACACUGAUACACUGUUGGUGGAGUUGUGAACCGGUCCAACCACUGUGAAGAACAAUUUGGAACUAUGCCCAAAGGGCUAUAAAACUCUGCAUACCUGUGACCCAGCAAUACCAUUACUAGGUCUGUAUCUCAGAGAUUUGGAAAAAAAAAAAAAAGGAAAAGGACCUAUAUGUGCAAAAAUAUUUAUAGUAGCUCUCUUUGUGGUGGCAAAGAAUUAGAAAUUGAGAGGAUGCCCAUCAACUGGGAAAUGGCUGAACAAGUUGUGCUAUAUGAUUGUGAUGGAAUACUACUUACUGUGCUGUAUGAAAUGACCAGCAGGACAAUUUCAGAAAAAUCUGUUAUGAUUUAUACAAACUGAUGCAAAGUGAAGUGAGCAGAACCAGGAGAACAUUGUACACAAUAAUAGUAAUACUGUAUGAUGAUCAACUACAAAUGACUUGGCUAUUUUCAAAAAUACAAUGAUCUAAGACAAUUUGAAGAACUUAUGAUGAAAAAUGCUAUCCACUUCUAGAGAAAGAACUGAUGGAGUCUGAAUGCAGAUUGGAACAUAUUUUUAUUUUCUUUAUUAUUCUUGAUUUUUUUGGUCUAUGUUUUCUUUUGAAACAUGGCUAAUAUAGAAAUAUUUUCCAUGACUGCACGUGUGAAAUCUAUAUCAAACCGUUUGCCUUCUCAACAAGGGGCAAGGAGACAGAGAAUUUGGAACUCAAAAUUUUAAAAAUCAAAUGUUAAAAUUUUAAUUGAGAAAUUGUUUUUAAAAAAUAAAAACGAAGUGAUAAAAUGUUUUUUAAAAAAU